rnacentral:rRNA from 1 species
AGAGUUUGAUUCUGGCUCAGAACGAACGCUGGCGGCGUGGAUAAGACAUGCAAGUCGAACGAGAGAAUUGCUAGCUUGCUAAUAAUUCUCUAGUGGCGCACGGGUGAGUAACACGUGAGUAACCUGCCCCCAAGAGUGGGAUAGCCCCGGGAAACUGGGAUUAAUACCGCAUAAAAUCGCAAGAUUAAAGCAGCAAUGCGCUUGGGGAUGGGCUCGCGUCCUAUUAGUUAGUUGGUGAGGUAACGGCUCACCAAGGCGAUGACGGGUAGCCGGUCUGAGAGGAUGUCCGGCCACACUGGAACUGAGACACGGUCCAGACACCUACGGGUGGCAGCAGUCGAGAAUCAUUCACAAUGGGGGAAACCCUGAUGGUGCGACGCCGCGUGGGGGAAUGAAGGUCUUCGGAUUGUAAACCCCUGUCAUGUGGGAGCAAAUUAAAAAGAUAGUACCACAAGAGGAAGAGACGGCUAACUCUGUGCCAGCAGCCGCGGUAAUACAGAGGUCUCAAGCGUUGUUCGGAAUCACUGGGCGUAAAGCGUGCGUAGGCGGUUUCGUAAGUCGUGUGUGAAAGGCGGGGGCUCAACCCCCGGACUGCACAUGAUACUGCGAGACUAGAGUAAUGGAGGGGGAACCGGAAUUCUCGGUGUAGCAGUGAAAUGCGUAGAUAUCGAGAGGAACACUCGUGGCGAAGGCGGGUUCCUGGACAUUAACUGACGCUGAGGCACGAAGGCCAGGGGAGCGAAAGGGAUUAGAUACCCCUGUAGUCCUGGCAGUAAACGGUGCACGCUUGGUGUGCGGGGAAUCGACCCCCUGCGUGCCGGAGCUAACGCGUUAAGCGUGCCGCCUGGGGAGUACGGUCGCAAGAUUAAAACUCAAAGAAAUUGACGGGGACCCGCACAAGCGGUGGAGUAUGUGGUUUAAUUCGAUGCAACGCGAAGAACCUUACCCAGGCUUGACAUCUAGGGAACCCUUCGGAAAUGAAGGGGUGCCCUUCGGGGAGCCCUAAGACAGGUGCUGCAUGGCUGUCGUCAGCUCGUGCCGUGAGGUGUCGGGUUAAGUCCCGCAACGAGCGCAACCCCUAUCUUCAGUUGCCAGCAGGUA